GGACCCCGCACAAGCGGUGGAGCAUGUGGUUAAUUCGACGCAACGCGAAGAACCUUACCAGGUCUUGACAUCCGACGCAAGGCGCUAGAGAUAGCGAGAUAGUUAUGGUCGAGACAGGUGGUGCAUGGUUGUCGUCAGCUCGUGUCGUGGGAUGUUUGGUUAAGUCCAGCAACGAGCGCAACCCCUGUCCUUAGUUACCAUCAUUUAGUUGGGGACUCUAAGGAGACUGGCCGAUGUAAAUCGGAGGAAGGUGGGGAUGACGUCAAAUCAUCAUGCCCUUUAUGACCUGGGCCACACACGUGCUACAAUGGGCGAUACAAAGAGAUGCAACUGCGCGAGCACAAGCCAACCUCAAAAAUCGUUCUCAGUUCAGAUUGGAGUCUGCAACUCGACUCCAUGAAGAUGGAAUCGCUAGUAAUCGCGAAUCAGCUACGUCGCGGUGAAUACGUUCUCGGGGUUU
rnacentral:rRNA from 1 species